rnacentral:rRNA from 1 species
AACUUUCAACAACGGAUCUCUUGGUUUUGGCAACGAUGAAGAACGCAGCGAAAUGCGAUAAUUAAUGUGAAUUGCAGAAUUCAGUGAAUCAUCGAAUCUUUGAACGCACACUGCGCCCCCUGGUAUUCCGGGGGGCACGCCUGUCCGAACGCC